GACUCGGUGGCGCAACGGUAGCGCGUCUGAUCCCAGAUCAGAAGGUUGCGUGUUGGAAUCACGUCGGGGUCA
rnacentral:tRNA from 1 species